rnacentral:rRNA from 1 species
AGAGUUUGAUCCUGGCUCAGAUUGAACGCUGGCGGCAGGCCUAACACAUGCAAGUCGAACGGUAACAGGAAGCAGCUUGCUGCUUUGCUGACGAGUGGCGGACGGGUGAGUAAUGUCUGGGAAACUGCCCGAUGGAGGGGGAUAACUACUGGAAACGGUAGCUAAUACCGCAUAACGUCGCAAGACCAAAGAGGGGGACCUUCGGGCCUCUUGCCAUCGGAUGUGCCCAGAUGGGAUUAGCUAGUUGGUGAGGUAACGGCUCACCAAGGCGACGAUCCCUAGCUGGUCUGAGAGGAUGACCAGCCACACUGGAACUGAGACACGGUCCAGACUCCUACGGGAGGCAGCAGUGGGGAAUAUUGCACAAUGGGCGCAAGCCUGAUGCAGCCAUGCCGCGGGUAUGAAGAAGGCCUUCGGGUUGUAAAGUACUUUCAGCGGGGAGGAAGGGGAUGUGGUUAAUAACCGCAUUCAUUGACGUUACCCGCAGAAGAAGCACCGGCUAACUCCGUGCCAGCAGCCGCGGUAAUA